AUUGAACGCUGGCGGCAUGCCUAACACAUGCAAGUCGAACGGCAGCACAGCCGUAGCAACACGGUGGGUGGCGAGUGGCGGACGGGUGAGGAAUGCAUCGGAAUCUGCCCGGUCGUGGGGGAUAACGCAUCGAAAGGUGCGCUAAUACCGCAUGAGAUCGAGAGAUGAAAGCGGGGGACCGCAAGGCCUCGCGCGAGCGGAUGAGCCGAUGCCGGAUUAGCUAGUUGGCGGGGUAAAGGCCCACCAAGGCGACGAUCCGUAGCUGGUCUGAGAGGACGAUCAGCCACACUGGGACUGAGACACGGCCCAGACUCCUACGGGAGGCAGCAGUGGGGAAUAUUGGACAAUGGGCGCAAGCCUGAUCCAGCAAUGCCGCGUGUGUGAAGAAGGCCUUCGGGUUGUAAAGCACUUUUAUCGGGAGCGAAAAGCGGACGGUGAAUACCCGUCCGUGCUGACGGUACCCGAGGAAUAAGCACCGGCUAACUUCGUGCCAGCAGCCGCCGCAGUAA
rnacentral:rRNA from 1 species